rnacentral:rRNA from 1 species
AAUAGAUACCCAGGUAGUCCACGCCGUAAACGAUGAGUGCUAAGUGUUGGAGGGUUUCCGCCCUUCAGUGCUGCAGCUAACGCAUUAAGCACUCCGCCUGGGGAGUACGGUCGCAAGACUGAAACUCAAAGGAAUUGACGGGGGCCCGCACAAGCGGUGGAGCAUGUGGUUUAAUUCGAAGCAACGCGAAGAACCUUACCAGGUCUUGACAUCUCCUGACCGCCCUGGAGACAGGGUCUUCCCUUCGGGGACAGGAUGACAGGUGGUGCAUGGUUGUCGUCAGCUCGUGUCGUGAGAUGUUGGGUUAAGUCCCGCAACGAGCGCAACCCUUGGUUCUAGUUGCCAGCAUUGAGUUGGGCACUCUAGAGCGACUGCCGGCGACAAGUCGGAGGAAGGUGGGGAUGACGUCAAAUCAUCAUGCCCCUUAUGACCUGGGCUACACACGUGCUACAAUGGAUGGUACAAAGGGCAGCAAAGCGGCGACGCAUGAGCGAAUCCCAGAAAACCAUUCUCAGUUCGG